AUCUUAUUCAGCACCUCCUAAAGCAAGUAGACGCGGAGUUAAAUGAUCCCUUUUUUAUGUUAAAUGUCAGUAAGGCAAUAAAAUAUUAAAAGAAAAUUUAUCGUGUCCGUCCUGUAUUGAGUUGAAAAAUUAAGAUCAUAAACUGUUCCAAAAUAAUAAUCUUUUUUUAGGUAUAACCUGCCUCAUUUGAACAAUAAAAGUGAUUUGUACCAUUUAUGCUCUUUCAAGGAAAUAGAGAAGGGGAGCUAAACACCGUUGCCUGCAAUCAGAGUACGAAUACAUUGAUGUAUUUCACUUUCGUAGUUUAACCCCGACGAAGAUUCCAAUCGCUCA